rnacentral:rRNA from 1 species
GUGGGGAAUAUUGCGCAAUGGGGGCAACCCUGACGCAGCAAUACCGCGUGAGUGAAGAAGGUUUUCGGAUCGUAAAACUCUUUUAUUGGGGAAGAAGAAGUGACGGUACCCAAUGAAGAAGUCCCGGCUAACUACGUGCCAGCAGCCGCGGUAAUACGUAGGGGACAAGCGUUGUCCGGAAUCACUGGGCGUAAAGGGCGCGUAGGCGGUUUUAUAAGUCAGAUGUGAAAGGUACCGGCUCAACCGGUGACGUGCAUUUGAAACUGUAAGACGUGAGUACUGGAGAGGCAAGUGGAAUUCCUAGUGUAGCGGUGAAAUGCGUAGAUAUUAGGAGGAACACCGGUGGCGAAGGCGGCUUGCUGGACAGAUACUGACGCUGAGGUGCGAAAGCGUGGGGAGCGAACAGGAUUAGAAACCCGGGUAGUCC